GGAAGCGCUGCGCGUGCCUCAGAAUGCAAGUCGAACGAUUAAGACUUCCUUCGGGAAGUGCAUAAAGUGGCGCACGGGUGAGUAACACGUAAGUAAUCUACCCUCGAGUGGGGAAUAACGUUCGGAAACGGACGCUAAUACCGCAUAACGCAGCGGCACCGCAAGGUGACAGUUGUUAAAGGAGCAAUCCGCUUGAGGAGGAGCUUGCGGCAGAUUAGCUAGUUGGUAGGGUAAUGGCUUACCAAGGCUACGAUCUGUAUCCGGUCUAAGAGGACGGUCGGACACACUGACACUGAAUAACGGGUCAGACUCCUACGGGAGGCAGCAGUCGGGAAUUUUGGGCAAUGGGCGAAAGCCUGACCCAGCAACGCCGCGUGAAGGAUGAAGUAUUUCGGUAUGUAAACUUCGAAAGAAUAGGAAGAAUAAAUGACGGUACUAUUUAUAAGCUCCGGCUAACUACGUGCCAGCAGCCGCGGUAAUACGUAGGGAGCAAGCGUUGUUCGGAUUUACUGGGCGUAAAGGGCGCGUAGGCGGCGCGGUAAGUCACUUGUGAAAUCUCUGAGCUUAACUCAGAACGGCCAAGUGAUACUGCAGUGCUAGAGUGCAGAAAGGGCAAUCGGAAUUCUUGGUGUAGCGGUGAAAUGCGUAGAUAUCAAGAGGAACACCUGAGGCGAAGGCGGGUUGCUAGGCUGACACUGACGCUGAGGCGCGAAAGCCAGGGGAGCAAACGGGAUUAGAUACCCCGGUAGUCCUGGCCCUAAACGAUGAAUACUUGGUGUCUGGAGUUUCAAUACUCCGGGUGCCGUCGCUAACGUUUUAAGUAUUCCGCCUGGGG
rnacentral:rRNA from 1 species